GACGAACGCUGGCGGCGUGCUUAACACAUGCAAGUCGAACGGAAAGGCCCUGCUUUUGUGGGGUGCUCGAGUGGCGAACGGGUGAGUAACACGUGAGUAACCUGCCCUUGACUUUGGGAUAACUUCAGGAAACUGGGGCUAAUACCGGAUAGGAGCUCCUGCUGCAUGGUGGGGGUUGGAAAGUUUCGGCGGUUGGGUAUGGACUCGCGGCUUAUCAGCUUGUUGGUGGGGUAGUGGCUUACCAAGGCUUUGACGGGUAGCCGGCCUGAGAGGGUGACCGGCCAAAUGGGGACUGAGAUACGGCCAAGACUGGUACGGGAGGCAGCAGUGGGGAAUAUUGCACAAUGGGAGGAAGCAUGAUGCAGCAACGCCGCGUGCGGGAUGACGGCCUUCGGGUUGUAAACCGCUUUCGCCUGUGACGAAGCGUGAGUGACGGUAAUGGGUAAAGAAGCACCGGCUAACUACGUG
rnacentral:rRNA from 1 species